UCGAAACCUGCCCAGCAGAACGACCCGUGAACGUGUUUACUUAUAAUGGCUUGCGUGCCAUCGUGCCCCUUGCCUAAGCCUGGGAGCGCUCGCUUGUUGGGUGCUUCCUUGCUGCAUAAACGAUCCCCGGCGCUAAAAGCGUCAAGGAACAUGAACUUAAAGUGAGGCACUUGUCCCUGCUUGGUUAGCCAUGCGGGGCAGGUGUCGUGUCUUGACAUAAAAAUA
rnacentral:rRNA from 1 species